rnacentral:rRNA from 1 species
AACUUUCAGCAAUGGAUCUCUUGGCUCUCGCAUCCGAUGAAGAACGCAGCGAAAAGCGAUAUGUAAUGUGAAUUGCAGAUCUACAC